AUAGGGUGUUAAAAACAAAUCAGCCCUUGUGUAAUUGGGUACAGCUUCCCUGAAGCAAGUAGAGUUUGCACCUGUUUGAACCAGGGCUUCAUCUGGUCUGCUGAAGCAAACAAUCCUCAUUCCAGAAGAAGUGUUCGGAGCCACAGGGGAAUACUGGGAAAUAGAGCUAUUUUGAGAGAGAAUGGGCUUUCUGCAAAUAGCUGUGAUUAGUUCUGAAUGUGCACUCCACCAGUGACCAAGGCCAUAUGCAGAAGAAAGAAAUUGAGAAUUGAGAGAAACCUCCUCCAAGAUAUAGGCAUGCAUCAUUGUGUCAUCAUUAAAUGUUCCAGUUAAUAGUUUGCGAGGUUCUGGACUAAAGAGAUACUUAAAGGUGAGCAGAUCGUCUUCACAGCACCAGAGGCAGGGAGCAGCUGAACUGGAAUAAAUGCAGGACUAACAUCUUCUUAAAGCUGUUACUCAAGGUAAAUAGGAAAUGGGUUUAGUCGUAAUUAAGAAGGCUUUGUAGCUGCUGCAGUUAUUCUGUACCAAAGAUCCAGAAAACUGUCCCUUUUUCCACCCUCUGCAUAGUGAUAUUGUUACGUUCGCCUCUCCUUGAAAACCCAAAGAUUUUAUGAGGCAAGUAAACAAAAAUUCCAGAUUAUGGAAAUUGAUGAAAGCACACAAUGCUGCCUUUCUCAGUGUUCAGACUCAACUAAUUAAGGAUUAGAUUAUUCAAGAGCAGCAGAUCAAUUAGGAUUGCUUU